UACGUAGGGUGCAAGCGUUGUCCGGAAUUAUUGGGCGUAAAGAGCUCGUAGGCGGUCUGUCGCGUCUGCUGUGAAAACUCAGGGCUUAACCCUGAGCUUGCAGUGGGUACGGGCAGACUAGAGUGCGGUAGGGGAGACUGGAAUUCCUGGUGUAGCGGUGAAAUGCGCAGAUAUCAGGAGGAACACCGGUGGCGAAGGCGGGUCUCUGGGCCGUAAACUGACGCUGGAGGAGCGAAAGCAUGGGGAGCGAACAGG
rnacentral:rRNA from 1 species